rnacentral:lncRNA from 1 species
UAUUUAUUGAUAAUUCUUAUAUGAUUUGCAUAUCUAUAAAUACUUGAAUUGGAUUGGUCAAUUAGAAUUUUUCUCUAAGUUUACACUUCGAUAAACCAUGUUUCCGAAACUACUUUUGUAAUCUAUUCAUGCGCGAUACACAAGCUUGCAGUGAUCCCGGGAUUUUCAGCAAAUUGAGAUUAAAAAACAAUUGCAUAACAGUUGUGACUAUUCUAGUGCAUAUAUAACAAAAAAAAAGAAAUAAAUUUAUUGCACUA